rnacentral:tRNA from 1 species
GGAAAUUAGCUCAGUUGGAGAGCAUCUGCCCAGAGGGUCGAGGUUCGAGCCUCAUUCUCCACCA